rnacentral:tRNA from 1 species
GAGGAUAUAGCUCAGUGGUAGAGUGUGUGCUUAGCAUACAUGAGGUCCUGGGUUCAAUCCCCAGUACCUCCA